UACGUAGGGCGCAAGCGUUGUCCGGAAUCAUUGGGCGUAAAGAGCGUGUAGGCGGCCCGGUAAGUCCGCUGUGAAAGUCCAGGGCUCAACCCUGGGAUGCCGGUGGAUACUGUCGGGCUCGAGUCCGGAAGAGGAGUGUGGAAUUCCUGGUGUAGCGGUGAAAUGCGCAGAUAUCAGGAGGAACACCAAUGGCGAAGGCAGCACUCUGGGACGUGACUGACGCUGAGGAGCGAAAGCGUGGGGAGCAAACAGG
rnacentral:rRNA from 1 species